AUGUUUCCCACAUCUCCCCUCUUGCUGUUGCUGGUUACUGUGUCAAGUGGUUAUGGUGUGACAUUGAUUGAAUCUGGGCCAGUAGUCAUCAGUGCCGGAGGAUCUCACACCCUGACCUGCACAGCUUCUGGGUUCACAUUCGAAGACUAUCAGAUGGCUUGGAUCAGACAAGCACCUGGGAAAGGGCUGGAAUGGGUGGCACUUCUCUCACAGCCCUCUGGUUCUAGCAAAUACUACUCUCAGACAGUGCAGGGAAGAUUCACCAUCUCCAGAGACAACAGCAAGAGUCAGGUGUAUCUGCAGAUGAACAGCCUGAAGACUGAGGACACAGCUGUGUAUUACUGUGCUCGAAAACCACAGUAG